GUCGAACGGUAACAUUUCUAGCUUGCUAGAAGAUGACGAGUGGCGGACGGGUGAGUAAUGCUUGGGAACUUGCCUUUGCGAGGGGGAUAACAGUUGGAAACGACUGCUAAUACCGCAUAGUGUCUUCGGACCAAACGGGGCUUCGGCUCCGGCGCAAAGAGAGGCCCAAGUGAGAUUAGCUAGUUGGUAAGGUAACGGCUUACCAAGGCGACGAUCUCUAGCUGUUCUGAGAGGAAGAUCAGCCACACUGGGACUGAGACACGGNCCAGACUCCUACGGGAGGCAGCAGUGGGGAAUAUUGCACAAUGGGGGAAACCCUGAUGCAGCCAUGCCGCGUGCGUGAAGAAGGCCUUCGGGUUGUAAAGCACUUUCAGUUGUGAGGAAAAGUUAGUAGUUAAUACCCGCUAGCCGUGACGUUAACAACAGAAGAAGCACCGGCUAACUCCGUGCCAGCA
rnacentral:rRNA from 1 species